GACGAACGCUGGCGGCGUGCUUAACACAUGCAAGUCGAACGGACAGGCCCUGCUUUUGUGGGGUGCUCGAGUGGCGAACGCGUGUGUAACACGUGUGUAACCUGCCCUUGACUUUGGGAUAACUUCUGGAAACUGGGGCUCAUACCCGGUAGGAGCUCCUGCUGCAUGGUGGGGGUUGGAAAGUUUCGGCGGUUGGGGCUAGUCUCGCGGGUUAACAGCUUGUUGGUCGGGUAGUGGCUUACCAAGGCUUCGACGGGUAGCCGGCCUGAGAGGGUGACCGGCGACAAUAGGACUAAGAGACGGACCAGACGCGAACCGGACGCAGCAGGCGGGAGCAUUACACAGUAGGCGGAAGCCUGAUGCAGCGGCGUCGCGUGCGGGAUAACGGCCUACGAGGUGUAAACCACUGUCGCCGGAGACGAAGCGUGAGUGACGGUAAUGGGUAAAGAAGCACCGGCUAACUACGUG
rnacentral:rRNA from 1 species